AUGACGCCCACCAUAGCCACUGCUCUGGUGCUCGCACUGACCCUUGCACACCAUGCCUCCCUUGCCUCCGCCGCCGGCCACAGGGUCAUCAUCGUCGGCGCCGGCAUGUCCGGGAUCUCGGCGGGGAAGCGGCUGUCGGAGGCCGGGAUAACGGACCUGCUGAUCCUGGAGGCGACGGACCACGUCGGCGGGAGGAUGCGCAAGCGGAAUUUCGGGGGCGUCAACGUGGAGAUGGGCGCCAACUGGGUGGAGGGCGUCAACGGCGGCAAGAUGAACCCCAUCUGGCCCCUCGUCAACUCCACGCUCAAGCUCAGGAACUUCCGCUCCGACUUCGACGGCCUCGCCGAGAACGUCUACAAGGAGCGGGGCGGCGUCUACGACAGAGCGUACGUGCAGAAGAGACUCCAUCGGUCGAACGAGGUGGAAGAGGGCGGCGCGAAGCUCUCCGCCAAGCUGCGCCCCAGCGGCCAGGACGACAUGUCCAUCCUCACCAUGCAACGCCUCAACAACCACUUGCCCAACGGGCCGGCGUCGCCGGUGGACAUGAUCCUGGACUACUUCAAGCACGACUACGAGUUCGCGGAGCCGCCGCGGGUGACCAGCCUGCAGAACGUGGUCCCUCUCGCCACCUUCAGGGACUACGUGUACUUCGUCGCCGACCGGCGCGGCUAUGAGGCCAUCGUGCACCACCUCGCCGGACAGUACCUCGAGGCCGACAAGUCCGGCAACAUCGUGGUGAGAGAGAUCUCCCACUCCGGGAGCGGCGUCGCCGUCAAGACGGAGGACGACAAGGUGUACAAGGCAGACUACGUCAUGGUCUCUACCAGCGUGGGGGUCCUGCAAUCCGAUCUCAUACAGUUUAAGCCACGGCUUCCUGCGUGGAAGAUCCUCUCGAUCUACCAGUUCGACAUGGCUGUGUACACCAAGAUCUUCGUCAAGUUCCCCCGGAAGUUCUGGCCUGAAGGGAAAGGGAGGGAGUUCUUCCUCUACGCGAGCAGCAGGAGAGGCUACUACGGGGUGUGGAGGCGCCAACGUUCUCCUGGUGACCGUCACCGACGAGGAGUCGAGGCGGACCGAGCAGCAGCCCGACAACCAGACCAAGGCGGAGAUCGUGGAGUCCUCGGCGAGGACGUCCCCGACGCGACGGACAUACUCGUGCCGCGGUGGUGGUCCGACAGGUUCUACAGGGGCACCUUCUCCAACUGGCCCAUCGGCGUCAACCGCUACGAAUACGACCAGCUCAGGGCACCGGUCGGGAGGGUUUACUUCAGUGGGGAGCACACCAGCGAGCACUACAACGGUUAUGUCCAUGGAGCUUAUCUUUCAGGUAUUGACUCUGCGGAUAUUCUGAUCAAGUGUGCUCAUAAGAGAAUGUGCAAACACCACAUCCCGGGCAAGUUUGAGUAG
rnacentral:rRNA from 1 species